UUCCCUGACCAGGGAUUGAACCCGGGCCACAGCAGUGAAAGUGCCGUGUCCUAACCACUGGACCACCAGGGA
rnacentral:tRNA from 1 species